rnacentral:lncRNA from 1 species
CACAUAUUUCUUAAUAAAGUUCUCAAGAAGACCAGCAAGUUUAGGAGUUUCAUGAGCUCCAUUGACAAGUGCAGUUCCAGUUCUUUCAUCAAAUUUUGACUGAGCCCCAAGCUCAUUUCCAAAAUAUUUUGUAGUAUAGGAUGGGGGCCUUGCUAAAGCUUUGGCAAUAUCAACCAUGUUCACCACAUUUGUCUUGAUUCCAUUCCCGCGCCCCUCUAUCUUGGUAAUCAUCCUGGGCAUCUUAUACCUGUAGAAGGCAUCAUCAUUGUUGCUGGCACCAAUAUUCUGCAAAGCCAUCUUUGAUGAGAUAUUCCCAGAUAAGUGUUAGCAAUCUUCAGAGAAAUAUUCAGCAGAACAAUUGUACAGUGUGUCGGGAGAAGGUUGUGCCUUGCAGCAACCACAGAAGUCAAUGUGUUCUUCCUGUAGUGAUCCGAGAUGCAUACAGUCAACCCAACCUGAGAAAUGACGGUUCUUUUUUCUUGACGUAGGACAAUACUCUCCAAGCAAUCCAAUGGAUCCCAAAUAGAAGAUGGCUUGCUCGGACAUAAAAGAAGUUUCACUUAGAUCACUACAACUUUGAAACUCCACAAAAGUCACACAACCUGCAACUUUCAAAAAGAAGAACCACGGGUCAAAUACGGGCAGAGAAACUAAAAAAAGACUACUACACUGCAUUAUAUUAAUAAAUGAGAGGUAAAAAACAAAAAUAGUGACAGACAGCAGAUUAAUCGUUAGCAGACUGUUCCACCCUUAAGAUUCAAAGUUGAGUUCCUUUAUGUCAUAGCAGCUUGAACAAUUAAAAAUUCUAUAAAAAUUUGCAACAAAUGGCAAAACCCAUAAAGAUGAACAAACAGAUCAACAAAGGUACACCAUGAUAAAUUAAUCCGCCAAAGACCAUCAACAUUUCCUUGGGUCAUUUAUCAGUCUAUAUAAGCUUCUAAGUUGCAUACUCCAGAAACACUUGGAAGAGAAACCCAAGAUGCAAGCUUUCAAAAAUUAUUUGUCACCAAUGCCCGAAUUCUUUUUUUUUGAUAAGGACCAAUGCCCGAAUUCUUUAUACUUCUUUAAACUGAAUCAUCAAUAGCUGGAAUUUAUACUUUAAAAAACAAUAGAAUAUCUCUAGAGGGUUUUGGACUAGUGACUAACAGCAAUUGAACUCGUAAUUUAAAACAAUUUCUGAAACCCCUUUGCUACUUCACUUGACUUUUUCCGUAUGUAAUGGAGAUUCAACAGUUAAAGUUUUAAGUUAUAAUCACAAUAAAAUUGUAUUUCUCUAUUUACAGUAUAAUUUUUCAACAACUUCCUCCACUUAACUCCGCCACCGCAUGCCAUAAAGCCAUCCAGUGCUUAGGUAAGACAUCCUCAGCUUUAGGAAAAAAAACAGCACAAAAAUAGGCAACAACUAUCAAAAACAGUCUCAACUCCUCUGCCUCUCCACUCCACAGACCCUCCAAAAACCCUUAGCAAAUAAAAACUAUCAAAUAAGCUAAUUCUUUUUCAAUCUACUCUGACUACAGCUUAAAACAUACUCUCUCCGUCCUUUUUGUCUAUCCAAAUAGAAUGCCGUCUUUCUAUAUUUAGAAACAAUUUAACUUUAAACUUAGAUUUUACCCUUUCUGAGAAGAUUAAUAUAGUAUAUAUGACUUAUUUUAGACCACAAGUUUCAAAAGUUUUUCGUUCUUUCAUUCUUAAAUUACAUGCUCAACCAAUCAAACUCACACAAAUGGGAUGGCGCGAGUACAAAAACCAAUCAUCAACACCAAACUAAUUGCAAUCUGACAUAUGAACUACCAUCUAUAUCCAUUCCACACUAUUUCACCUUAUUUCACUCCGAUUCACAAAAAAAUUAUCUUUUAAGCCAAAUCAGGGCUCCUCUAAAGCUAGAGAUCCUGUAAUAUCAGUUACUAAAUUCUCAAUAAAUCAACUAAAAUAAAAUAGAUCGGAAAGGAGACGAGUAAAAUAAAAUAGAUCAGAACGAAGAUGAACUUAUAUAUAACAUAAAUAAAUACGCAACAAACAUCGAUUCAACAACUCCAGAAUAACGUUACUCAAAUCAAUGAAAAAGCUAAGAAUAAGAUUUAAAAAAAGAGCUAGAAUGCAGCUUUCAUGAUGAAAAUAGGUAAACGAUAUACAAAAAUAAGAAGAAAAAGUAAUCAAAUACCUUAUAGAUUGGAACGAGGAGGAACAAAUCUACAAUAGAAUGAAAAGAGGAGAGAAAUUGGAACACGUAAAAUAGGGUU